GAUGAACGCUGGCGGCGUGCCUAAUACAUGCAAGUCGAGCGAACAGAUAAGGAGCUUGCUCCUUUGACGUUAGCGGCGGACGGGUGAGUAACACGUGGAUAACCUACCUAUAAGACUGGGAUAACUUCGGGAAACCGGAGCUAAUACCGGAUAACAUAUUGAACCGCAUGGUUCAAUAGUGAAAGGCGGCUUUGCUGUCACUUAUAGAUGGAUCCACGCCGUAUUAGCUAGUUGGUAAGGUAACGGGUUACCAAGGCAACGAUACGUAGCCGACCUGAGAGGGUGAUCGGCCACACUGGAACUGAGACACGGUCCAGACUCCUACGGGAGGCAGCAGUAGGGAAUCUUCCGCAAUGGGCGAAAGCCUGACGGAGCAACGCCGCGUGAGUGAUGAAGGUCUUCGGAUCGUAAAACUCUGUUAUCAGGGAAGAACAAAUGUGUAAGUAACUGUGCACAUCUUGACGGUACCUGAUCAGAAAGCCACGGCUAACUACGUG
rnacentral:rRNA from 1 species